rnacentral:rRNA from 1 species
GAUGAACGCUGGCGGCGUGCCUAAUACAUGCAAGUCGAGCGAACAGACGAGGAGCUUGCUCCUCUGACGUUAGCGGCGGACGGGUGAGUAACACGUGGAUAACCUACCUAUAAGACUGGGAUCACUUCGGGAAACCGGAGCUAAUACCGGAUAAUAUAUUGAACCGCAUGGUUCAAUAGUGAAAGACGGUUUUGCUGUCACUUAUCGAUGGAUCCGCGCCGCAUUAGCUAGUUGGUAAGGUAACGGCUUACCAAGGCAACGAUGCGUAGCCGACCUGACGGGGUGAUCGGCCACACUGGAACUGAGACACGGUCCAGACUCCUACGGGAGGCAGCAGUAGGGAACCUUCCGCAAUGGGCGAAAGCCUGACGGAGCAACGCCGCGUGAGUGAUGAAGGUCUUCGGAUCGUAAAACUCUGUUAUUAGGGAAGAACAAAUGUGUAAGUAACUAUGCACGUCUUGACGGUACCUAAUCAGAAAGCCACGGCUAACUACGUG